ensembl:lncRNA
CCCCCCCCCCAACCCCCCCAAGUAUUUUCAUAGUCACACAUUUUCCUGUAAAGUGUAACCAUUACUGACCCCAUUACUAACAAAUCUCUCAGAAAACCCCACUUAAUAGGGAGAAACAUGAAAACCUCAAGAAACAAAAGGUAUCUGAUUUCCAAACAGAAUGCCUAUUUAAGACCAAACCUCAUUAGGGACAAGUCCUCCAGGCAAACAUCCUCUCAUUAUUUAUUGUCAUGGUUUACUGCAGAUUCCUCCGUGUAAUUCACAGUUGGCUUUUAAAUAAAUCUCUCUGUAUGGUAAAUGUGAUAUUCCUUCAUUUAAGCAGCAGGGUUAUCUUAAAACUGAGCAAGACCAAAAUUUCAUAUUUCAAAACUCAUAAACAGCUUAGAGCAUGACAGUAAUGCAAUGACGAGAAGAAAAAGUAUGACUGACAACAUAUGGUUGAAGAGUUUGGUAGCAGUGGUUAUACAAUGUAAUUCAUUUCAUGAUAAUAUAAGUCAGACUGCAAAGCAAAAGCAAUUAGGAAAUAAGUGAUGAUAAUGAAGAAUUACUCAUGGUGAGGAACUUCUCUAUAGUGGAAGGAUGGUUCUGUGUUCUAAUCAACAGUUAAGGCCUUAAAGCCCUGGAUUUAAAGCUCAGUAUCCUAUCCUUGGUCCUGAUUUUUAGAGGGUCAGUUGGGCCCAAGAGUAUGAAAAGUUCUGAGGUACUCUCAUCUGUUGGUGAAAUUGGUCCACAACUCCUACAGCUCAAGUGAGCAUCUGGAAAUGGGCAGGAGACAGCUGGAAGCUGGAAAGCUUCUCUUUCUCCUAAGGCAUACUGUGGUUUCCUUGCUUAUCUUAUCCAGGAGAUGGAAGUCUGGGAGAUCUCCCUACAUACUUUAAUCACAUCAAAGGGUUAACUAUGAUUUUGCCUAAGAUGAAAAGUGCUUGACCAUGAAUUCCAAUUCUUAUUGCAAUAAGAUGCUGAGAAUGGUUAAAGGAGCCCGGAGUACCUCCAUAAUUUGCAUCUCUGAUUAGAACAGGGUGAAGUUCUCUUCAAGGAGAAAGUCCUCUGGUGUGAUCCAUUUUUCUCCUGUAGCUAAAAAUUCUUGGGCUGAUUCAGCACCUGGGCUGAUGAGUUGGCCCCUGGAAGCACUCACCAUGGUUGCUCUUGAGGAAGCUGGAGGGGCAGCGCAGCGGAAAGUUUCUCUCCUCACCAGAGGACAUGCACGCAGCCCAGUGCUUGCCAGGACAAUGCCUCCUCCAUCCCUUUCUUGGCUCAGAGCACAGCGUCUACCACUACUCAUAAAAAAUACUGUCUCUUAAAUUUCAUAUUUACCACUUUGCGUAACAGAUUUUCCUAAACAAACAGAAAGCUGAUCAGGAUAAAUACCAGAAUAAGUGAAAACAGUUGUUUUUAAUCUCAGUGUGUUGAAUGCAGAUAUUGGCGUGAACAGAUUGCCUUUUUUAGUACACCUAUUAUAGUGUCACACCCAUUCUUUGCUGAAUGCAUACCUAUGAGACAGUGUGUGUGUGUGUGUGUGUGUGUAAUAAAACCCCUGGAUUAUUAAGCAUUUUUUCUAUUCUGCUAUGUCAGUCCAAAUUCACUUUGAAUACAAGAAUGAUGGAAUUGUUCAAUAUAUUGUGUGCAGAAGGUUACGACCUCUGCAGUCAGCCCCUGAAACACCACUGCUGUCUUCUUACUUCUGGGGUAGCUGAAAUGAAUUACAAGGCAGAGUCAUAAAGCCAGAACAUUUUACUAAAGCUAAGACCUCUGAAUAUGCAGUAUUUAAGCAUUUUUGUCCUCUCUCUCGUUCCCAAAUUACUUAAAAUCUGUGUAAGAUUUCAAAGAUGAAAACCAAGCAUACUGUUUUCACUUUUUAUCUUGUUUUUGAACAAGGUUUCAAUUCAACAACAGCUCAAAUGGGUGAAUAGCCUUUUGCAUGUAAUAAAAAUACCACAAUUUCUUCAUCCUUUUGUGUACACGCAUGGAAAGAGACAUCUUAAAAUUGUUAUCAUACAUAUCAUCAAGUAGAAAGACUUGGGUAUGAUUGGUUUGAAUGCUGUGGAGGAUAUACCACACUGAGCCACUCUUGUAACCCAGCCCAAAGGAUGGGUGAAUGCUUAUUGUUUGAAGGGGACAGAAGGAAUACUGUCAGUGAAAAUCAAAGACAAAAGUAAAACUGCCUUCCUCUGCACGUGAAGACAGUUCUUGUUAGUGCACAGACUGACCCAGACAAAUUGGAACACCUAGUGGAAAGUUAUCAUCUCCCCUCUGCAUUUCCACAUUAAUUGAACAUAGGCAAGAGCUCCAAACAAUCAGUUACUUUUCUUCCACACACACAGCAUCAGAAGGACACUCAAAAGAUAACCGACAAGCUAAAAUUCAAGUUACUGAAAUUUAUGAUUGCUGGCUGUUAUUCAGUAAAGUAUUUUAACACCAAAAUUUUAAUAAAGCUGCCGUAAAUAUUCCGUGCCCAUGGUGCCAAGGUUCAGCAGAUUCCUCUGUUAACACAACAGGUCUAACCGAGGGAACUUGAAGACUUCUCUGGCAAGAUCCUCUGAACAGAUGCAACUUGAAUAAUCUUUUGAAAAAUAAAGCCCUAUUUCCCCAUGCCUCAAUGGUACAAGGCCUCAAGGAAAAUGCAGACACAGCAAAAGGCCUAAAAGCCCAAUCUUAACCUCAGCACGCUCAGGGAAGAGCACUCUGCCUCCAAUUUGGGGAAGUCCAGGCUGUCCCACUCACAAAACGUUCUCUUUGUUCUCCACAGGAAUCACCUUGUACUGCUGAUAACUCACUUCUUUCCAAGGGUUUCAGGUUUAGGAUUCCCUUUGAUGCUAGAUUCACUGCUGGGAACAGUAAACUACUCUAGCUUUGAUGGAGCUGCAAUUAUUGCCUAUUGUCAGCUCUUCCGUUGUUUCCUCUAAAACUCUUAUUUAUGUCACCAUUUCAUUUUGGAUAGGUUUCCGCCUUGUUCCUUUCUGAUUUCAAUAAUGCCAUUCAGGGAAGUUAUAAAUCAGACAGCCUGAGGAGCACAUAUCAUUUUGAUAUAAGAAAUACAACAUGUCCUCAUUCUUUUUGCUAUAACAUACACGACUGAAAUCGCAUCAGCCACACCGGCGGUCCUUUGUCAGCUCUGCCUCUGCCUGUGCUGUUGCUACUGGAGUGGCAGCUGCAGUGAGAAUCACGAGAGCACAGAAGCAGUCUGGUGUGGGGCCGAGGGGUGUCCUGUUCUGCACACGUGUUGGCGCCGACAUGCCCGAGGAUUUCAGCUGCUUUGGAGCAUUUAAGUGUUACAUCGGGAGCCUAGUCUGGUAAUGGUAACCUAAGCUACAAGCAGCAGGGAGGUAUUUGUGCUGUGCUUUGCUUAGAGAAGCAUUUCGAGCCUGUGACACUGUCUGACACUGACUGAUUAAGAUACAGGUACUGCGGCGCUGUCAGGAAAGAAGAAAGAGGACUUGCAGUGCUGUUGCUGCUCACGGAUCUCCAGCAGAGCAGCAGCAAGGCACCAGCACACAGCAGCACCGUGCUCCGCCACCUCUUCUGAGAAUUACUGCCUAGCCAACCCUGAAGCGAUUCAGUAUGCACCACAUUUCCAGCACAGCCUGCCCCUCCACACAGACUCUGAAGGCUAUAUACCACGGGUGAUCAGAGCCUCAUGACAGGGGAGGGGAUUGUGAUGGAAAGAGUCAAAGGAGCUUUGAGAAGGACAAAAAUCUGAACACACUAAUGAGUUUUAUCAGGAAACCAUUAGGAAGACUGCUGCUGCAGCAAACAAGACCAGAACCUAACAGGGAGAGAAAGAGAGCUACCAAGCUAUGCUACAGAUACAGACAGGUCUUCAUUUUCUCUAUGGCUUUAAAGACUGCCAUUUUUAAAAAGGAAGCAUUCAAAUCUCUCUCUGAAACUCCUUUUUCUGGGUAUCCCCAAAGCUCACUCUACACCAUUGGUGUGAACUGUGAAAGGGAUUGCUUUGCCAGGCAAAGACAUUUAUCACUUGUGUAUUCUGUCUUGAGGAUAGGCUUUUCAGUUUUACUUAAAUUCUUGGGGCUUUCCCUGGUAGAAGAGACAGGUUCCCCUCCCCAUACCUUCUCUUGGCAAGUGAUGAAGUGUUAUUUUCUGAGGGUGAUGCUGAAGCACUCAGAAACAGUCACACAAGUUUUUAUCCAGGGUGUCCAGACUUAGGAAUGCCCUUCAGCUCAGAUCUACAUUUUCUGCCUUUUGGGAUCACCUCUCCUCCUUAUAGCUUGUGCUGGCAGGAAUACAAGCAACAAAAAGAAGUCUCAGCUGUCAUCAGAAACCUGAGAUCACUUCAGACUAUAGUUCUCAUUUGUGUGCCAAACCAGGAAUUGACUAAGAUAGGAAAGAACAAGAUGGAUAAUACAGAAAGUUUUGGAGAAGAAGCAUUCCUCCUCUGAAAGGUAAAGGCCCUUCUUGAGUCUGUGCCAGGUAAACCAUAAGAAAAGUGCAGCUGCUUCUUGGGGCGGUUCUUCAUCUCUGUUGAAGUUUUGAGUGGAAAUGAAAAUUAAGAGCUGCUAGGCUGAUCUUCAUCUCCAUGCUUCACCUGUCAGAUUUAUACCAUAUGCCUUUGCUGAUGUUUUGUCAUAUCUCAGUUCAGUCUGUUCGCCUGUUAACUGUUUUGUGUCCCACGUGCUUAUAAUAAGGAUCAUAAAUACCCAAUGAAAGGUACAGCCAUCACUUUCAACAGAAUAAACUAUUCUUUUCUCUCUGGAAAAGACUCAGAAAUGAAAACAAAACUACUUUAGAAUAAGUUUUUUUUUCAUUAGCAGCUAACUAGAACAUGGAAGAGGCAGUUCCUAGGGCAAACUCCUUCCUGACAGUCAUUUUGCAUCUACACCUUAAAGAGUUACCUUCAGAGACAGAUCCCAGCCAAGGAGAGAUGGGGAUAACGCAGUUUCAAGUAAGCUAGAAGCUAGCACAUAAUUCCAUUUGAACCCAGAAUUUAGCUCACUGCUUAGGGUGCAUGUAUAAAAAUAGGGGCAAUAUAUAUAGUUCAUACAGGGAAACAGAAAGAGGAUGGGAAUGGACAGGAUUUAUGGUUUCACAGGGGGUCAUUUCUAAUUUUAAGGAGAUUUGUCUGCCCUGUUUCUAGGGCAGCAGGCAGGAAGUUCCUAAAUGGAAAAGGAAAAUAUUGUUCUACUUGAACAUCACCCUGGCACUGUCAGAUGAUUCACAGGCCCUGGAGAACACAGACAUUACCAGCUCAGCACAUCUAUAUACCAAUCACCAUUUGUCAUAUGCGAGUACUUCCCACAGUCCUAAAAAAGGAUUGGUUUUGUGUAUUAUUUGCUGGAAAUGUAACAAACUUCAUACUGAACAGCAAAAUAAAAACAGUACUUGAUUGUUUUAUUGACUGUUUGCCUAUUUACUUGGGAAAACUUCACUUCAGGAUUCUUUAUGCAAUCUAAUAAAAGGACCCCCACAGCUGUCUUCUUUUUGGAGAAAAGCUGUCAACAUCCAGUAUCAUUUUCUGCAUAUUGAGUGAAGUACUUGAAAGUCCCAGUUCCAUUUUAAUGUGUGAGAAGCUCUCCCAUUUGUAUGCAGCUGGAGAGAGUAGUUUUAUCCUCAUUUACAAAAGCCACAUGAUGGAUUUCUGGCUUUAAA